CCUACGGGGGCAGCAGUGGGGAAUCUUGCGCAAUGGGCGAAAGCCUGACGCAGCCACGCCGCGUGCGGGAUGAAGGCCCUAGGGUUGUAAACCGCUUUUAACAGGAACGAAAAUGACGGUACCUGUAGAAUAAGGUGCGGCCAACUACGUGCCAGCAGCCGCGGUGACACGUAGGCACCAAGCGUUGUCCGGAUUUAUUGGGCGUAAAGAGCUCGUAGGCGGUUCAGUAAGUCGGGUGUGAAAACUCUGGGCUUAACCCAGAGACGCCACUCGAUACUAUUGUGACUAGAGUUCGGUAGGGGAGCGGGGAAUUCCUAGUGUAGCGGUGAAAUGCGCAGAUAUUAGGAGGAACACCGGUGGCGAAGGCGCCGCUCUGGGCCGAUACUGACGCUGAGGAGCGAAAGCGUGGGUAGCAAACAGGAUUAGAUACCCUGGUAGUCCACGCCGUAAACGGUGGGCACUAGGUGUGGGUUCCAACCAACGGAAUCCGCGCCGUCGCUAACGCAUUAAGUGCCCCGCCUGGGGAGUACGGCCGCAAGGUUAAAACUCAAAUGAAUUGACGG
rnacentral:rRNA from 1 species